GCAGUGCCUCUGGCUCUUGGUCUCCUAUGUAUAUCAAACCCAAAGGUGACUGUUAUUGACACUCUGAGCCGGCUAAGCCAUGACACAGAUCCAGAUGUUGCCAUGGCAGCAAUUAUCUCCCUUGGUUUGAUAGGCGCUGGAACCAACAAUGCAA